UUCUUACAUGGGAUCAAAAUGUUUUAUACAAAGAUAUAAAACGGGAAUCUAUAUGUAAAUUACAUAUAGAUUCCCGUUUUAUAUCUUUGUAUAAAACAUUUUGAUGUAAUGG